AAAUAUCUGAGGACUGAAAGGAGAGGACAGUGAGAGCAAAACAUUAUGGCUGAGGUAAGUACCUCUCUGCAUAGGAGACAUUGUCUAUCGAUCCCCACCCAGUCCAAAAUACCUUCCCUUUGAUUGUCUUCCCUUUGACUGUUUUUUCAAAGUAAGAGUUGCCACUUGACUUGCUGCUUGCCUCACGCUGCUAUCUCUGCUGCAAGCUAACAUACGUUGAACACAGUGAGACUAACUUCUGAGUAAGAAUGCUUAGGAUAGUUUUGUCUCUAGCUCAGAGCUUUCCAAACUGCGUGUUGUGACACAUUCGUGCGUCGGCUGCAGUGUGUCGGUGUUUUCACAUGAAUGCUGCCUGCACUCCUCCCGGGCUGGAAAGGGGUUAGUUUAACCUCCGGUUUGCUAGUUAAACUGAAUUACUCUGUCACAAAAUGCUGUGUGUAUAAAAAGUGUGUCACCAGCAAGAAAAGUUUGGAAAGCUCUGCUUUAGCUCCUUCCCCCUGCCUUGCAAGUCUGACUUACAAAAACUGCAAUAAAUAAUCACAGGGUCCCAAAUUCAUCUGCUUGUGGGAAGAGAGCGAGGCUCCUGCAAGCCAUGGAUACUAAGUUUUGGUUUCUUGCAAAAAGAGAGCUUGGAAUGAAAUCCACGAUAAUAGCAGCAACUCAGUAAAGCGCUGGGCUCUGUACUGUUUAUAUGCCUGUAAUUUUAUGUAAGUUUUCUUGACUUAAAUAUUUUUAUUUAAGUUUGCUUGACUUUCAUUUUUAUACUUUAUUUUAUUGUGCAAUAUUUGAACUGAUUUUUGUUUCUGCCUUUGGCUCAUUAUAAAACCAAUAAACAUUUUGUCUGCAGCAUGUGUUGGAUGGGGCGGGAGAGGAUGCGGUGCUUUUUUCAGACUUAAAGAACAUGGGAAUAGCCUGCUAGAUCAGGCAAUGGCCCAUCAACCUAGUCCAGCAUCCUGUUCUCAUAGUGGAGCAGGUGGCGCUGUGGACUAAACCACUGAGCCUCUUCGGCUUGCUGAUUGGAAUGUCAGCGGUUCGAAUCCCCGUGAGCUCCCAUCUGUCCCAGUUUCUGCCAACCUAGCAGUUCGAAAGCACACCAGCACAAAUAGAUAAAUAGGCAUUGCUGCGGGAGGGGGUCAGGUAAACGGCAUUUCCAUGUGCAUUCCUUGCCUGCUCGCUUGCCACUCAGGCCCAGCCUUCCCUCGCUCAGCGCCGGGGCUGCCAGAGCUGGAGGAGCGGGUGGUUGCUGUUGUGGCAGCAGCGGCAGGACCCAGCCCUGGAGGGCGGCAGGUGCCUGCUCGCUUGUCGCCUGCCUGCCUUCCCUCACUAGGAACAUGGAAGUGCAGCACUCAGAAUGGAAGUUAUACUCAGAACAGAGUAUGUUCGGCUUCUGAAAAAGGUUCCAAAACUGGAACACUCAUUUCCGGGUUUGAAAUAUUCAGGUUCCAAGUAGUACAAGAACUAUAAGAUAUUUAUUAAAGUUUC